rnacentral:rRNA from 1 species
CUACGGGCGGCUGCAGUGGGGAAUAUUGGACAAUGGGGGAAACCCUGAUCCAGCAAUGCCGCGUGUGUGAAGAAGGCCUGCGGGUUGUAAAGCACUUUCGGUUGGGAGGACUGCUUCUAGCACUAAUAUUGUUGGAAGUUGACGUUACCUUCAGAAGAAGCACCGGCUAACUCCGUGCCAGCGGCCGCGGUAAUACGGAGGGUGCAAGCGUUAAUCGGAAUUACUGGGCGUAAGGCGCGCGUAGGCGGCUAGAUCAGUCGGGUGUGAAAGCCCCGGGCUUAACCUGGGAACUGCAUCCGAUACUGUCUAGCUUGAGUACAGGAGAGGGGAGUGGAAUUCCACAUGUAGCGGUGAAAUGCGUAGAUAUGUGGAGGAACACCAAUGGCGAAGGCAGCUCUCUGGCCUGAUACUGACGCUGAGGUGCGAAAGCGUGGGGAGCAAACAGGAUUAGAUACCCGCGUAGUC